UACGUAGGGUGCGAGCGUUAAUCGGAGUUACUGGGCGUAAAGCGUGCGCAGGCGGUUUUGUAAGCCAGAUGUGAAAUCCCCGGGCUUAACCUGGGAAUGGCAUUUGGGACUGCAAGGCUGGAGUGCGGCAGAGGAGACUGGAAUUCCUGGUGUAGCAGUGAAAUGCGUAGAUAUCAGGAGGAACACCGAUGGCGAAGGCAGGUCUCUGGGCUGACACUGACGCUCAUGCACGAAAGCGUGGGGAGCAAACAGG
rnacentral:rRNA from 1 species